rnacentral:lncRNA from 1 species
CUCUUCAAUCCCAUUUGACUCAUAACUUAAUUCUCAAUCAAGUUAGCUUAUAUGUUCAAUCAAGUCAAGUACUUCCAAAUUGGACAUACAAACAUAGGCCAAUACUUUCCUAUAGUGUCUGACUUGUAUACACGACUACAUAGGUUCAAACACUAAGUCGGUAGCACAGAAAUUGAUUUCUGCACUAAUCAAGAUAUCAUCUAGCAAUGAUUUUCGAUAUCC